rnacentral:rRNA from 1 species
GAUGAACGCUGGCGGCGUGCUUAACACAUGCAAGUCGAACGAAGCACUCUAUUUGAUUUUCUUCGGAAAUGAAGAUUUUGUGACUGAGUGGCGGACGGGUGAGUAACGCGUGGGUAACCUGCCUCAUACAGGGGGAUAACAGUUGGAAACGACUGCUAAUACCGCAUAAGCGCACAGGAUCGCAUGAUCCGGUGUGAAAAACUCCGGUGGUAUGAGAUGGACCCGCGUCUGAUUAGCCAGUUGGCAGGGUAACGGCCUACCAAAGCGACGAUCAGUAGCCGACCUGAGAGGGUGACCGGCCACAUUGGGACUGAGACACGGCCCAAACUCCUACGGGAGGCAGCAGUGGGGAAUAUUGCACAAUGGGGGAAACCCUGAUGCAGCGACGCCGCGUGAGCGAAGAAGUAUUUCGGUAUGUAAAGCUCUAUCAGCAGG